UAACACAUGCAAGUCGAACGGAGCUAUGGUGAAGAUACUUCGGUAAAUGGAAGUGUAAGCUUAGUGGCGGACGGGUGGAGUAACGCGUGGAGAACCUGCCUGUACCGGGGAGUAACAGAGGGAAGCUUCUGCUAAUACCGCAUAAGCGCACGGCACCGCAUGGUGCAGUGUGAAAAACUCCGGUGGUACAGGAUGGCUCCGCGUUGGAUUAGCUUGUUGGCGGGGCAACGGCCCACCAAGGCGACGAUCCAUAGCCGGCCUGAGAGGGUGAACGGCCACAUUGGGACUGAGACACGGCCCAGACUCCUACGGGAGGCAGCAGUGGGGAAUAUUGCACAAUGGGGGGAACCCUGAUGCAGCCGACGCCGCGUGAAGGAAGAAGUAUCUCGGUAUGUAAACUUCUAUCAGCAGGGAAGACAAUGACGGUACCUGCAUAAGAAGCCCCGGCUAACUACGUGCCAGCCGCUGC
rnacentral:rRNA from 1 species